rnacentral:rRNA from 1 species
UACGUAGGGGGCUAGCGUUAUCUGGAUUUACUGGGCGUAAAGGGUGCGUAGGUGGUUUCUUAAGUCAGAGGUGAAAGGCUACGGCUCAACCGUAGUAAGCCUUUGAAACUGGGAAACUUGAGUGCAGGAGAGGAGAGUGGAAUUCCGAGUGUAGAGGUGAAAUUCGUAGAUAUUAGGAGGAACACCGGUGGCGAAGGCGACUUCCUGGUCCUAUACUGACGCUGAGACGCGAGAGCGUGGGGAGCAAACAGGAUUAGAUACCCUGGUAGUCCCUGAGCGGG